UUUUACCAACCCUAAACAACCAUGGUCAUGAACUAAUUGAUUUCGUUAGCCGCCAUCAUUCAAGACAUGAAAAGUCAACCAAAUAGGUCUAAAUAAAAUAAACCAAAAGUGUAAUAAAAUAAAAUGGAUAAAAAUAAUGAGGGUUUGUUUUAAAAAUAUUUUAAUUAGAAUAAAAAUAGGUGGUGAAAAAAUCAAACCAAAAUGGAACAAAAUGGUUAGAAAUAAAAAAAAAUGAAACAAG
rnacentral:lncRNA from 1 species